rnacentral:lncRNA from 1 species
GCACGAGCGCACCGGCCGCAGGGGCAAGCACCAGCGCUCCAGCCGCUGCGGCAAGCACCAGCGCUCCAGCCCCCGCGGCAAGCACCAGCGCUGCCGCGGCAUCAAGCACCAGCGCUCCGGCCGUGGCGGCAAGCACCAGCGCUCCGGCCCGCGGCAAGCACCAGCGCUCCCUCCGCUGCGGCAAGCACCAGUGCUCCGGCCGCAGGGGCAAGCACCAGCGCUCCGGACCCCACGGCAAGCACCAGCGCUCAGGCCGCAGAGGCAAGCACAAGCGCUCCGUCGGCGGCGGCAAGCACCAGCGCUCCGGCCGCAGGGGCAAGCACCAGCGCUCCGUCUGUGGCGGCAAGCACCAGCACUCCGGCCGCAGGGGCAAGCACCAGCGGUCCGGCCGCCACGGCAAGCACCAGCGCUCCGGCCACAGGGGCAAGCACCAGCGCUCCGUCUGUGGCGGCAAGCACCAGCACUCCGGCCGCAGGGGCAAGCACCAGCGGUCCGGCCGCCGCGGCAAGCACCAGCGCUCCGGCCGCAGGGCAAGCACCAGCGCUCCGUCUGUGGCGGCAAGCACCAGCACUCCGGCCGCAGGGGCAAGCACCAGCGGUCCGGCCGCCGCGGCAAGCACCAGCGCUCCGGCCACAGGGGCAAGCACCAGCGGUCCGGCCGCGGCGGCAAGCACCAGCGCUCCGGCUGUAGGGGCAAGCACCAGCGGUCCAGCCGCGUCAGCAAGCACCAGCGCUCUGUCUGAGGCGGAAAGCACCAGCUCUCCAGCCGCAGGGGCAAGCACCAGCGCUCCGUCUGUGGCGGCAAGCACCAGCGCUCCAGCCGCGGCGGCAAGCACCAGCGCUCCUUCCGCUGCAAGCACCAGCAGUCCGGCCCCACGGCAAGCACCAGCGCUCCGGCCGCAGGGGCAAGCACCAGCGCUCCCUCCGCUGCGGCAAGCACCAGCGCUCCGGCCGCAGGGGCAAGCACCAGCGCUCCCUCCGCUGCGGCAAGCACCAGCGCUCCGGCCGCAGGGCAAGCACCAGCGCUCCUUCUGCUGCAAGCACCAGCGCUCCGUCUGUGGCGGCAAGCACCAGCGCUCCGGCCCCUGUGGCAAGCACCAGCGCUCCGGCCCCAGGGGCAAGCACCAGCGCUCCUUCUGCUGCAAGCACCAGCGCUCCGGCCACAGGGGCAAGCACCAGUGCUCCCUCCGCAGCGGCAAGCACCAGCGCUCCGGCCCCCGCGGCAAGCACCAGCGCUCCUUCUGCUGCAAGCACCAGCGCUCUGGACCCCACGGCAAGCACCAGCGCUCCGUCCGCUGCAAGCACCAGCGCUCCGGCCGCAGGGGCAAGCACCAGCGCUCCGGCCCCCGCGGCAAGCACCAGCACUCCGGCUGCAGGGGCAAGCACCAGCGCUCCUUCUGCUGCAAGCACCAGCGCUCCGGCCGCAGGGGCAAGCACCAGCGCUCCGGCCCCACGGCAAGCACCAGCGCUCCCGCCGCGGUGGCAAGCA